rnacentral:rRNA from 1 species
AACGAACGCUGGCGGCAUGCCUAACACAUGCAAGUCGAACGAGACCUCCGGGUCUAGUGGCUCACGGGUGCGUAAAGCGUGGGAAACUGCCCUUAGGUUCGGAAUAACUCCUCGAGAGAGGUGCUAAUACCGGAUACUGAUACCGGAUAAGAGACUUAUAGGCUUUGGAUGGGCCCGCGUUGGAUUAGUUAGUUGUUAGGGUACAGGCCUGCCAAGUCGUCGAUCCAUAGCUGGACUGCGAGGGUGAUCAGCCACACUGGGACUGGGACACGACCCAGACGCCAACGAGAAGCAGCGGUGAGUAAUAUAGGAGAAUAAGCGAGAUGCAGAGCCAGCGAGGCCGCGUGAACGAUGAAGGCCUUGGAAUUGUAAAGCGCUUUUGCCCAAGAUUAUAAUGACAGUACCGGGAGAAUAAGCUCCGGCUAACUCCGUG